CCCAGUAAACGGCGGCCGUAACUAUAACGGUCCUAAGGUAGCGAAAUUCCUUGUCGGGUAAGUUCCGACCCGCACGAAAGGCGUAACGAUUUGGGCACUGUCUCAACGAGAGACUCGGUGAAAUCAUAGUACCUGUGAAGAUGCAGGUUACCCGCGACAGGACGGAAAGACCCCGUGGAGCUUUACUGUAGCCUGAUAUUGAAAUUCGGCACAGCUUGUACAGGAUAGGUAGGAGCCUUUGAAACGUGAGCGCUAGCUUACGUGGAGGCGCUGGUGGGAUACUACCCUAGCUGUGUUGGCUUUCUAACCCGCACCACUUAUCGUGGUGGGAGACAGUGUCAGGCGGGCAGUUUGACUGGGGCGGUCGCCUCCUAAAAGGUAACGGAGGCGCUCAAAGGUUCCCUCAGAAUGGUUGGAAAUCAUUCAUAGAGUGUAAAGGCAUAAGGGAGCUUGACUGCGAGACCUACAAGUCGAGCAGGGUCGAAAGACGGACUUAGUGAUCCGGUGGUUCCGCAUGGAAGGGCCAUCGCUCAACGGAUAAAAGCUACCCCGGGGAUAACAGGCUUAUCUCCCCCAAGAGUUCACAUCGACGGGGAGGUUUGGCACCUCGAUGUCGGCUCAUCGCAUCCUGGGGCUGUAGUCGGUCCCAAGGGUUGGGCUGUUCGCCCAUUAAAGCGGUACGCGAGCUGGGUUCAGAACGUCGUGAGACAGUUCGGUCCCUAUCCGUCGUGGGCGUAGGAAAUUUGAGAGGAGCUGUCCUUAGUACGAGAGGACCGGGAUGGACAUACCUCUGGUGUACCAGUUGUCGUGCCAACGGCAUAGCUGGGUAGCUAUGUGUGGACGGGAUAAGUGCUGAAAGCAUCUAAGCAUGAAGCCCCCCUCAAGAUGAGAUUUCCCAACUUCGGUUAUAAGAUCCCUCAAAGAUGAUGAGGUUAAUAGGUUCGAGGUGGAAGCAUGGUGACAUGUGGAGCUGACGAAUACUAAUCGAUCGAAGACUUAAUCAA
rnacentral:rRNA from 2 species